CUGGUGGUCAGUGUAUAUCAUAAAGACCAGUUUGAUGGUGUGAUACUUCAUUGCAUACAUGUACCAUGUUGUGUUUACCCAUCUGUGAUGGACAUUUGGCUUAUUUCUGUCUUGGACUAUUGUGGGUAAUGCUUCUAUGAACAUUGUCUGACAAGCAUCUGUUUGAGUCCUUCCUUUCAGUUCUUUUGUGUACAUACCUGGAGUGUAAUUGCUGGCUCAUGAUGGAACGUUUUAUUAUGUCAAACACAAAAUGUUUCCUGAGAAAAAAGCUUCAAAGCAUAGGUACAGUUGGCUAGAAAACGUGUGGGCUUCAUCCAUUUGGGAUCAGGCCUUGGAGGACAAGAUGAAUUCAGAGCUUACGUUAAGCAAAACUGAACAGAAAGAGCCAUACUCCAUUUUGAAAGUUUGGCAGCAGUACUUUUUCUUAGAAUUGCCCUCGUGGUGGAAGGUCUAGGUGCAGGCUCUUCGAUGUUUUAUGGAAUCCCUAAUUUUGUGGUUUUUAAAAACACCACAGGUAAGUAUUUUAGUUUCUCUAAGGUUUUCGGAAAGCACCUUUUAAGUUCUGAAAAUUUGUGACUGGCACAUGUUAUGUGAUGAGCAGCUAACAUCACUAAUUUGCUAUGCGUUUAUUUAAAUUUUCCCCUGAACUUUACAUUGCUGUAUUGUUGGUUUUGU